rnacentral:rRNA from 1 species
UACAUGGGGUGCAACGUUGCUCGGAAUUAUUGGGCGUAAAGGCGCAAGCGUAGGCGGUCGGCUAUGUCGGAUGUGAAAGCCUCGGGCUUGAACCCGAGAACGGGCAUCCGAAACUGGCCGGUACUUGAAGUACGGAAGAGGGUCUCGGAAUUCCCGGUGUCAGAGGUGAAAUUCGUAGAUAUCGGGAGGAACACCCGUGGCGCAAGCGCCCACCUGGCCGUGACCUGACGCUGCGGCACGAAAGACGUGGGGAG